UCGCCUGUGAUGAUAAUUUUCACCAAGUAACCAUCUUCGCGGACUGAAGGCUCUUUUAGCGCUUGCUUCUAUUCUGCAAUUCUGAGGCAC
rnacentral:snoRNA from 1 species